rnacentral:rRNA from 1 species
AGUGAACGCUGGCGGUAGGCCUAACACAUGCAAGUCGAACGGCAGCACAGUAAGAGCUUGCUCUUACGGGUGGCGAGUGGCGGACGGGUGAGGAAUACAUCGGAAUCUACUUUUUCGUGGGGGAUAACGUAGGGAAACUUACGCUAAUACCGCAUACGACCUACGGGUGAAAGCAGGGGAUCUUCGGACCUUGCGCGAUUGAAUGAGCCGAUGUCGGAUUAGCUAGUUGGCGGGGUAAAGGCCCACCAAGGCGACGAUCCGUAGCUGGUCUGAGAGGAUGAUCAGCCACACUGGAACGUAGACACGGUCCAGACUCCUACGAGAGGCAGCAGUGGGGAAUAUUGGACAAUGGGCGCAAGCCUGAUCCAGCCAUACCGCGUGGGUGAAGAAGGCCUUCGGGUUGUAAAGCCCUUUUGUUGGGAAAGAAAAGCAGCAGGUUAAUACCCCGCUGUUCUGACGGUACCCAAAGAAUAAGCACCGGCUAACUUCGUG